rnacentral:rRNA from 1 species
UACGUAGGGUGCAAGCGUUAUCCGGAAUUAUUGGGCGUAAAGAGCUCGUAGGCGGUUUGUUGCGUCGGCUGUGAAAUCCCGAGGCUCAACCUCGGGUCUGCAGUCGAUACGAGCAAACUAGAGUGUUGCAGGGGAGACUGGAAUUCCUGGUGUAGCGGUGAAAUGCGCAGAUAUCAGGAGGAACACCCGUGGCGAAGGCGGCCCUCUGGCUCGACCCUGACGCUGAGGCGCGAAAGCGUGGGGAGCGAACGGG